AUUUUUCGGCAAUAUGCCUCAAACAUUUCCAUUCUGCCACUAAUUGUAGAAAAAAUCUAUAACAAGUUCUUAGGGAAAUUAAAUUCAAAGAGCGUUGUGUCUAACUUAGAGUAGGAUUGAUACAUCUCAAUAAAUCUCUUGAACGAGAUAAUUGGUCUGCUCGGCAUAAACAUACCAUCAGCGUAGCUUUGACUGUAAAACUCUUGUUCUGUAAAUUCUCUUAUAUAUCCUUCAAUGUUUUUUGUAUAUAUUAAACAGAAUUAUAGAACUUUCCAUGACACAGGAUUUUUCCAGAUGAGAUUACACCA
rnacentral:misc_RNA from 1 species